rnacentral:lncRNA from 1 species
GGCCCACUGAAUGGAGGAUAUUCUCUGUCAAAAACCCUUCUUACACCUCUGUAAACAGGUUGUAGAAGGCUAAACUAGAGGAACCGAGUGAGAAAGGAGGCAUGUCAGAACAACUGAUUCAGCUCUUUGACAGGUUUUGAAUUUUGAGAGGUCUGUAACACAGUCUGCUUUGCUAAAGUGACAAAGGGACAGGACUUGUGUCCUGCAGGCUGCCAGCUAUGUGGCUUCACCUUGGACUACGUCAGUCUCCCAUUAGGGAAUCCUGUGCACAGGCACUGUGCUGCUGCAGGGGCUGACAGCUGCGGCAUAGGCCUGGCCAAGCCCAGCUCCCUGUGCUGGUUAAAGCCAGUCUGGAGGUGCUUGCUGCUGGGCGACGUUCUGCAGUCUGAAUGUGUUAAAUAUAGGAAUAACAACUGGAAGAAUAGAGGCAGAAGAGGGAACCCGAGGUGACGAGAAGACAAUACUGUUCUCUGAGAGAUAUUGGAGUUUGCAGUUUGCAGAGAAAGGUCUUGGUUCCACUGCACAGUCUUGACAGGGCAAUAACAGAAAAGCAUGAUUUUUCUGGGCCCUGGAAAAAGGAAACAAGAAUACGACCUCUUACUUAUCCUGCCACUGUUGCCUGGUACAACCACUUAGGCCUAUGAAGAGUCUUAGACCUCAUGUAUGCUACUCUGCUAGCAUCUUGCAGUCACAAUUAGCAAAUGCCACACUUCUGUUUGACAGGAGAGUUUCUUUCUCAAUUCCUUUUCAUCCAUCUCACUUUGGACAUCUCAGUACAACAAACAAACAAAAUACCUGGUCACAGCAGCAUGGUACAUUCUGUAUUGUGCCUGCUGACAGCUGGAAAUGGAGCCGAAACCAAUCUCCUAUUCUGCUCAGUAGAUUAAAACAGCAGAGAGUUUAAAAGUGAAAUGACUACAACUACUGCCAUUUUACAGUUCGAAGAACUGGAGCAUGAAACAAGCAUGUGAGUAUUUGCCUUUAAUCCUGGAUACCUGAAAUUAAAAUCAGCACGAGAAAUGGCAGAAUUAUGCAUUCACAAGUCUCUAACCUCUUCUUUUUUGCUUCUAUCUGUUAACUCAUCUCCCUUCUAGAAUGCCAUGCACUUGAAAGGAAAGUAAAGGAGCUCAGUCUAUGGGAGAAGCAUGACCUUUCUCCCUCCUGGUGUGCCAUGCCUUCUCUUGUCUCGGAAGUGAAUCAGAAUCUGAGGAGAGAUGCUGAGCAGCCACCUAAAAAUCAUUUGCUUCUGCUGGUUAUUCAGCAUCUGGCAACUGCGAUGGGUAGCUGGAAAGCUUUUGUUAAUAUCUCUUCUGCGUGUUUCCUGAGUAUUUUUCCAAAGCAGCUUAGUUGUAUGUGAUGAACUCUCAUUUCCUAAUGCCAGUCACUGAAAGCCUAUGCCAGGGGAUCACCAUAAAGCCUUGUUACUUUGUCCAGUCACAUCAUUUAUAAUUCCUUGAGAAGGACUUAUGCAAAACAAUGACUGGGAAGCAUUGCGUUUUUCAUAAGGCAUGUGAAAUAGAACUAAAUGUGAGAACAGGCUACCCUUCUUUGUAGACACUUCUUUGCUCUUUGAUAUCGAGUUUGCACAAGACCACAUUUAGACCCAGCAUUCUUAAAAAGCUGAGGAACAGUUCAGUUGUAAAAAGGUGGAUCAACCCCUAUUGUCAACCAAUUAGCAGCUAUGGA